rnacentral:lncRNA from 1 species
ACUCAAACUCACACAACUAACUUAGCAUCUCCUAGCUAAUUCCAUUAUCUUUUUUUCAACGUCAUAUUUCAAGACACUAACUUUUCUUCAUUCUCAACCAAAAUGGCAUCCAUUUCCAUUGCCAUUGCCACAAAGAGCAUUAAGAAUGUAUAUGAUGGAGGUGAAUGGUUUGGUUAUGCAUCUGUAGCUUGCAUUGAAGAUUAUCACAUUGGAGAUGUGGAUUCAUACAAGGAAGGUGAUGAUGACGAUGAUGGUGGCUAUGACUAUGCUCCUGCUGCUUAAACUCUCUAAUGUAUUAUGUAGAUGUAGUGUAAGAAUUUUGGUUGAACUAACUUAACCGUAUAAAACCGACUUGUUAUUUGAUGAUUGUCUUGCUUAUAAACUUUUAGUGAGGUCUUAUCUCAUUCCAUAUGUGACACUCGAUAUUAUUAUUAGCUAACUAUUAUUGAUUAACAAAAUGUAUGCUCCAAAUCUUUGUUUAAUUUGAUGAUUUUAAUUUGCUUAGUUAUUAUGGUCAUAGAAUAGAGUUGAUCUAGUGAGAUGGUAUUUGAUCCAUCACUUCAUUUAUAUACUUUAAAAUAGUAAAUGAAAGAUACGAGUAGAAUUCACAAAAUAUAAGGCCGUUUGUUUGGGAUUUUUUUUUGAAAAAAAAAAACUAUUUUUUAAACAAAAAAAAUCAGUUUUUUAUUUUAAUUUUGUAGUGUUUGUUUCAUAUUUUUAAAAAAUCUAUUUUGUUAAAAAUAAAAUUAACCUCAAAAUAAAAAGCUAUUUUCAGUAGCUUUUUUAAAAUCUUUUUUUUUUUUCUAAAAAUAACAUCUUGAUUGUAGUCAAAAUAGAAUUUGGAUUGCGAUCAUAAUCAAUUAUGAAAUGCUUACAAGCCCAAAUGGACAAACCUAGCUGACAAAGAAUUUAGACUAUUAUUUUUUCCACCCUAUUUCUUUCUCACACAUCCUAUUUUUUCGAAAAUACUCUUUGUUCUGAUUUCUUAAUUCAAAUCAUAUUGUAUGAAUUUUUCGAUUGGGCAAUCCAAAACGGAAUAAAGCCAAGAAAAUAUGUUGUGAUUGAUAUCAAAGGUCUCUGCUAACCCGCGUACGAUCCCUCUAAAGCAAUUUCAAAGAUCGUAUGAACGGUUAGCGAUGACUAAGAUAUGAUAAAACACUCCUAACUAAAAAAACGAGAAAACAAAUGUAAGAAUGGAUGAGAAGUGAAAAAGGAAUGAAUAUGUUGAAGCAUGGAAAGCUAUUCAUAGCCAUAAACAUAUCCUAGAUUGUAAACAUAGUCAAAGGAAACAUUUACAAUGUCUAAAUCGACCAAAAAUGCAUUACACACCACAAACCGUCCAAAGCUUUCAUGCAAUGCCACCUUCCACAGUCUGGCAGGGUUUGGAUUAUAUAUGUUGAACACUUCAGAAGCAGUUCAAAUUAUGUAAUUUGAAUUGUCUUAGACUGUGCUUAAGCUUGACAUUUGGUGAAAAAAGUAAAUGACAUAAUUCAACAGCGUAAAACAACGUAAUUAGAGAAGUCGUGAUAAAAGGGAAGGUGUUCCAAGAGAUGGUUUUCAACUUAAUCUAGUUGACCUAUCAACUAACAUAUUUUUGUCGCGGGGGCAACUGGAUCAAGUUCACCACAACCUCUUCGUAGUCUGAAUAAAGAUGAAAUGCAAGGUGAUUCAACAGGUUUUUUUAGCUAGAUCAUGUUGUCUUUCCAACGACAUAUUUCUAUUGGCAUGACAACAAGAUCUAGUUCAUAACAACCUCUUGGUGUUCAUAUCCACAAGAUAAUUUUUCAAAGUUCUUUUAUGUGUUUUACAGCAAAUAAGCCAAACAAGUUUAUUUGUACAAGUUUUUGUGUAUGGUGACCACAAAAAAUGUAGGUACAAUGUGGACCACAUAAAAAUCUUGUAUUUGACAGAUUCGGAUUAUAUAAGUUGAUUUGUCCUUCACCCUACAAAGUACAAGUUUUAACACAUGAAAUUUAAUUUCAGCAACAUACAUUAAAUAAAACAAUCGCAAAUACAUCAAACGACUUAAUUCAACAACUUAAAACACAUAAUAAAACAAAACAUAAUAGAUCACGCAUCAACCAAACUAACUUCUUCAUCGGGUUCCUCCAUCAGAGCCUUGAUUUCUUCGUAUGUUCUUGGCCGAAUCAAACUUUUCCUAAUAUCUUUGAAAGAUCUGACCAAAGAAGCGUCCAACUCAGUUGGUCCAUUAGUAUUUUAUUGACUAAAUAUUGAGAACAUGGCUCUCACGUCGUCGUCUCUCAUGAGCUUCAUCUGCAGUAACUGCACUCUUUUGGCUCAGCCGAUCGAUGGACGUCAAUAAUUAACAUCGUCCACCCUUCUUCUGUCUUUGUGGUUGAGUUGUUGGUUGAUUUAAUUCAGUUGAUCAUUCAUCCCAGAGAGUGUGACAUCAUUCUGAACCCUAAAUAUAUGAGUUUUCCCACAUUGUAGUAACCUGCAGCUAGUUUGGUGUUCAGAUCAAUGAUCAAAGUGUACAUGGUUAUUUGGUGUGGUUUACAACAUAUGAAAAAACACACACUAAUUUAUAAUAGUUUUUGUUCGUCAUGGACCACAGAAAUUGUCAGUGCAAUGUGGACCUCAUAAAAUAUCAUGUACUCUUUCUCACUCUAUAAAGUAUGAAUUUUAACACAGUCUUGAACGAGUUCAGAUUAUAUAAUCCAAACAUUUUUGGGAUGUGUUCAAAUUAUAUAAUCUGAACUAGUUGAGAUUUCAGAUGGUUACUUGCUUAGUAAAACUAACUCAAUGAACACGUUUAUCUUUGUUCAUACUAGUUACAUUGACUAGCUAGACCAAUUUUAACACGUUGUUUAACCCUAAUUUAUGUACUUUAACACUUUAUGCAUCAUCCUUCACAAAAACUUUCCUUUAAAUUGCCACCAAUCCUUCACGAAUCUCAUUCAUCAUCUCACAAUCUCUCAUUCUAUUUUCUUCUGCAAUGUGCUUCUACUGUUGUCCUUCAUACAAAAAGGUUACUAUAUUAUUUUAGUGAUUGUAUGAACGGUUCAUAACCCUAACUCGUGUAUUGUUAGAUAUAGUCUAUGCACCAUCCUUCACAAAAUCUCCUCUACAAAUACCCAUCAAUCCUUCACGAAUUCUCAUUUCAUCAUCUCACAUUUUCUCCUUCUCUUUUCUUCUACAAUGUGCUUCCACCAAUGGUCUUUCAUAAAAAUAAAAUGGUUACUCUAGUAUUUUUGUGAUUGUAUGAACGGUCAGCGGACAUGGUGCCACUCUACAAAUUUGCACCGUUUGGUUGAGUGCAAGGUUGAUAUGUAUGGUUGUAUGGUUAACUAUCAAAGCCUCAUUCUCCCGAGAGAGGAAAGAAAGUGUACCUCAAACCUCCUUCUCUCUCCAUCUUCCUCUCCUUCCCCUCCAUCUUCUUGUACCAUAUGUUUAGCAAUAUUUAUUUAAUAAUUUUUGUGUAAUGUAAAUGUACUAUGAAAGAUAAGGUUAAUAUUGUUUUACCCCCUGUAAUAUAGACAGAACUCGCUAGGACAUUGAAACACAACACAAAAUUUCGAAUCAAUAUACGUUCAUAUGAAUUUGUUGCGUUAAGAGGAUUAAAAUUUUAAAAAACGCUACUAAAUUCCAACACUUUUUUUUUUGUGUUAAAGAAGUAACUCCUUUCUUCCAUAACCUGAGACGGAAAAACAAAACAUUAGCAAAAUGCAAUGAUAGAAAAUCACUGAGACACAUGGCCUAGUCAAUGAAUAAGAACUAGAAAAUAUCUAAAUUAGUUCUUGAAAUUGUGUAUUGAAUCAAUCUAGUCCCUUACAUUGUCAAUAUUCUAAAGUGAUCAAUGAAAUUCCAAAUAAAUUUAACCAAGUGUGUCCCUCCUUUAGUAAUUGUAUCUACUAGAACAACAUUAAAUUGGUAAUGUCAAUGAUGGAUUAAAAACUAAGAAUAAUGUCAUAUAUGCAUUUUAUUAACUAAUCCAAACAGAAGGACGAACUUAAUUAACAUUUUGCAAUUAAUGGAUCAUUUUGAAAUAUUGAUAAUGUGAGAGACUAAGUUAAUACAACCUUACAAUUUCAAGGAUCAUUUUGGAUGCUAGUGUUUAGCAUCAACGCCUUUAUUGUCGUCACUUUUUUGGAUGCUAUGUUGAUGCUAAAAGUUUUGUAUCCAUUUUUUGCCUCAUAGCAUCCUGUUUCUGCUGACGCUAAAACACAUUUUUCUUGUAGUACAUCAUCUUAGUAUCUCGUCUUUGCUCCACCACAAUUGUUUAAUCCAAAAAUCUCACGUUUUCUCGUUAAAAGUUAAAAGAAAUAUAUAUGUUUUUUUAUCAAAUCCACCAUAUUAACGAUAGAUUCCAGAGCUCUUUGAUUGGUAAUUGGUAAUUAUGCUUGGUGAAAUCACUCUCUAUUCCCUAACACUUUAUAUAACCAUGCAUCCACUCAAAGAUUCUAUCAUUUUAUUGGCUGUUUUUUCCGACGUGUAAGAGGUUUUCCAAUGUGGCUAAACAAAAUCGCAUCACACAUGAGGCACCAAGCCAUGCUCACACUUUUAAGCAUAAAUCCACACUCCUUUUGUGACAUUCAUGUGCCAUAAUCACUCCAACAAUCUCUCUUCUUGUUAUAUAAACACCAACAUGGUCUCUAACAACCCUAACUCAAAACACAACUACCUUAGUUAGCAUCUCCUAGCUAAUUCUGUAAUCUUCUUGUCAACCUCACAUUUCAAGACACUAACUUUUUUUCUUCAUUCUCAACCAAAAUGGCCUCCAUUUCCAUUCCCACAAGGAGCAUUAAGAAUGCAUGUGGUGAAGGUGAAUGGUUUGGUUUUGCAUCUGUAUCUUGCAAUGAUGAAGAUUACCACACUGGAGAUGUAGAUUCAUACAGGGAAGGUGAUGAUGACGACGAUGGUGAUUAUGAUUAUGCUCCCGCCGCUUAAACUCUAAUGCACUAGUAUCACUUAACUAUUAGUGUAACAAUUUUGGUUGAGCCUAAUUUAACCCUACAAAACCGACUUGUAAGUUAAUGAUUGUCUCCAUUUAUAAACUUAUGGUGGGGUCUCAUUUGUUGUGUGACUCUUAAUACCAGCUGACUAGUACUAAUUAACAAAAUGUAUGUUUCAAAUCUUUGUCAUAGAAUUGACUUGAGCUAGUAAGAUGGUAUUUGAUCCUUC